UGCAAAAUAGGUGAUUCUUGAUGCAAUGC
rnacentral:sRNA from 1 species